rnacentral:rRNA from 1 species
UACGUAGGGGGCAAGCGUUAUCCGGAAUCAUUGGGCGUAAAGGGUGCGUAGGCGGCCCUAUGGGUCAGAGGUUAAAGGCUACGGCUCAACCGUAGUAAGCCUUUGAAACUGUAGGGCUUGAGUGCAGGAGAGGAGAGUGGAAUUCCUAGUGUAGCUGUGAAAUGCGUAGAUAUUAGGAGGAACACCAGUGGCGAAGGCGACUCUCUGGACUGAAACUGACGCUGAGGCACGAAAGCGUGGGUAGCGAACAGG